rnacentral:rRNA from 1 species
GUCUACGGCCAUACCACCCUGAACGCGCCUGAUCUCGUCUGAUCUCGGAAGCUAAGCAGGGUCGGGCCUGGUUAGUACUUGGAUGGGAGAGAGAGAAGCCUUUCAUCCGCUGGUU